AAUGUAUGACGUUGUUGACUUUUUAUCCAACGUUUGACCAUCCGUCUUAUUAAAAAAAAUUAUGUAAUUAUUAUUUAUUUUAUUGUGACUUGAUUCGUCAUCAAAUGUUCUUUAAACAUGGCAUAAAUAUUUUUAUAUUUGUACACAAAAAUUGAAUAAAACGAAUGGUCAAACGUUGGUCAGAAAGUUAAUGGCGUCAUACAUU
rfam:Oryza nivara chromosome 7, whole genome shotgun sequence.